rnacentral:rRNA from 1 species
ACUCCUACGGGAGGCAGCAGUGGGGAAUAUUGCACAAUGGGGGAAAGCCCAUCGAUGCAGCCAUGCCGCGUGUGUGAAGAAGGCCUUCGGGUUGUAAAGCACUUUCAGCGAGGAGGAAAGGGUGUGUGCUAAUACCAUACAUCUGUGACGUUACUCGCAGAAGAAGCACCGGCUAACUCCGUGCCAGCAGCCGCGGUAAUACGGAGGGUGCGAGCGUUAUCCGGAAUCAUUGGGUUUAAAGGGUCCGCAGGCGGACGUAUAAGUCAGUGGUGAAAGCCUACAGCUUAACUGUAGAACUGCCAUUGAUACUGUAUGUCUUGAAUUCGGUCGAAGUGGGCGGAAUGUGUCAUGUAGCGGUGAAAUGCAUAGAUAUGACACAGAACACCGAUAGCGAAGGCAGCUCACUAGGCCUGAAUUGACGCUCAGGGGACGAAAGCGUGGGGAGCGAACAGGAUUAGAUACCCUGGUAGGAUAG